GGGAUUAGCCAGCAGGUGGGGUAAUGGCUCACCUAGGCGACGAUCCCUAGCUGGUCUGAGAGGAUGACCAGCCAGCACUGGAACUGAGACACGGGCCAGACUCGCGACGGGAGGCAGACAGUGGGGAAUAUUGCACGAUGGGCGCGAGCCAGUAUGCAGCCAUG
rnacentral:rRNA from 1 species